rnacentral:lncRNA from 1 species
AAAUGAUACUUCUAUUUAUCCUUACUCCUAAAUUUAGUUCAGUUGUUUUUUUUUUUUUAAUUUAAUGAUAUAUGUGGGCAUGUGUAUUUGUUGAAGCAGAAUGAGAACUGUAAGUGCCAUUUGUCUACCUCUUUUGAAACAGGAUCUCUCACUGGUGUGAAGUGCACCAAUUAAUUGAUACUGGCUGGCCAGCAAGACCCAACUAUCCUCUCUCAAUCUUUCCAGCGCUGAGAUUACAAGUGAAUGCCAGCAUGCCCUGCAUUUUCACAUGAGUUCUAGGGGUCAAACUCAGGUUCUUGUAUUUGUAAAGGCAAGUGCUUUACCAGCUGAGCUAUCUUGUCCCUGUGUAGUUUUUAAAUUAGUGUAAGUGGGACUGCCAGGACUGCUCAGUGGGGAAAAGCAUUUGUUCUUGUGAGCAUGAAAACCUAAGUUCAAAUCUCCAGCACCCAUGUCAGCAGUUAAGAGCACAGCAGUAGGCUGCUCUUACACUGGACCCAGGUUUAGUUCCAAUCAUCCACAUGGCAGCUCAACAACCAUCUAUAAUUCUAGUUCCGAGGGAUCUGUUGUCCUUUUCUGGCCUCCAUAGACAAUAGACAUGCACUUUGUGCACAGGCUAAUUUCAGACAAAAUCCAUAUGCAUAAAAUAAAAAUUACAAGGGGAAAAAGCUUGAAUAAAGCUGCAUGUGCCUACAAUCCCAGCACUAGGGACAGAAACAGGCAGAUCCGAAGAACUUGUUGGCCAAUGAAACAGCAAGCUUCCAAUUCAGCGGGAAACCUUAUCUCACAGUGCCUUAAGGCAGAGUGAUUGAGUGUCGUGCUCUGACUUCAGCAUCCGCAUACUUAAUGUGACUCUACCACCACACACAGAGCAUAUAAACAAACAUACAAAAUAAGUGAAAUAAUUUAAAAUAAACAUAGAACUAAAAUGAUUAAACACUGUUGAGAAAAUCAAACAUGAAGGCUUUAAGAAGUCUAUGUACAUCUUGUGUUGUUUUUCCCUGGGGUUUGCUUUUAGUUUUGUUGUAAACUUGUGGUUACUUAAAAUUUGUUUGAUUUUAUUUUUUUAAACUUCAGCCCUAAACACAUAAUAGAUUAAUGCUUGAUAUUCUUGACAAUUCUUGCUAAUGAUUUGGUCUUCCUUCUAACAGUCCAGAAAGACAAUUGUUGUUAAUGAUGGAUUAUUUUGUUUACUAGAAAUUUGGUAAACCUGUGCCAGCUACCAGGCUUCUAGAUGCCAGUUGAGUAGUAGAUUUGUAAGUAAAAAACAGUUUAGUUCCUUCUUCUCUUGUAGAAGAGAUUACAGUCAAUCAGAAACAUGGAGGAGAGGUUAAGCAGAUUUCCAGAGCUAGGCACUAAUGCACUACAGUGGAGCCAAAGCCCAGUUUAUCAGACCUCAGCUCUCUGAUGUUCCUAAGUAAACACUAAACUUCUCAUGUGCAUCUUAAAAAACCAGAAGUACAGUAUUUCUUUGCCUAAGAAAUUUGUUCCUUAUUGAAACUAGUAGAAAUAAAAACCUCAGC